UAACGAGUGUUUAUGGCACUCUAACAAUCCAUACCCACCUUGUGUGCAGCGUUAAGAGUCUAUUUGUCUCUCUCUCAGAGGGCACGAGACUUCUUUCAAUUAAUCUACCUUGAACAAGUUUGUCUGAAGCAUUGUAUCAUGAAUAAACAUAAUUCAAAAUA
rnacentral:misc_RNA from 1 species